rnacentral:rRNA from 1 species
UAUAGAAUUUUAUAUUAACUUUACCUAGCGGUUAAUGCUGGUUUUUUGUUAAUAUUUGGUUGGGAGGAUUAUUAAAUUUAACAAACUUUAUAUCAUUAUAAACUUUGAUUUAAGAAAAUAUAAUGACCUUCAAUUUGAAAUAGUUAGAGUAAAUUACCUUAGGGAUAACAGCGUAAUAUUUUUUUAUAGACCUUAUAGAAAAAAAUGGUUGCGACCUCGAUGUUGAAUUAAGAUAAAUUUUAAAUGCAGGAGUUUAAUAAUUAAGUCUGUU